rnacentral:ncRNA from 1 species
GUGUUUUAUGAAAUUAAAUAAAUAGAUUAGCAGUACCUUUGACAAGAAUGGAAGAAAUUCUAUGGACCUGUACUCCACACAUACAUGUAAGGUGUCGCCAUCUCAUUGUAGCACCUAACAAUUUUUGU